UACCCUUGGCCGGAGGGACAUGCUUGUGAGAGGAGAGAAAGAGAUGAGAGGAGAGGAGAAACACGUCUAUUUCCUGUUAACGAACCUUACAAUUGUGGGAGGAGCCACAGGCGCCGCCACGCUAUAUAAACUGCCUCAGCCCCUGAUCUUUCACUCGCCUCACAUCGUCGGAUGGUAAAAUACCUGCCAUGAUGAGACUGUGGGCACUGACUUACCUGGUGACUGUCUGGAUGACGCAGGUGCUGCCUGGGUCGGGGUCACAGAGACGUAUAAUCAAGAACCUCGAUGUUAGUGAUGACGGCGAGGGCAACGUCCCCUUCGACAUGAAGACUGAUGUUGACAUCGAUGAUACUGUUGAUAUUGAUUCAAGAGGGUUAAGUGGUGUCAUGGAAGGUUUAUAACACCGAUUAAAGUGGGACCAGAGCAAUGUGUAAUUUUCCGACUACAGUCCAGCUGUCAUCUCCAGCAAAAUUGUAAAUUAACUACCACAUCACUGGCGCCCCGCCGCUGAGACCGUGUUUAGUGAUGUAUUAGAAGUACAGUGUAUGCCUGGAGGCCUCACCCAGUAUAAAUAAACAUUUUAUAUACUGACCCUGACUUAAUUUGAAUACUAA